AAGUUCAAAUUAUAUGACAUAUGACUUGAUGAAACGCUACCGUAUUCUUCCUAAUAAUUAACUGCGACCCUGACACGAAAUACCCGGGAGCAGACACUGAGAUAUAUUUUAAAUACACAAGGAAAAAGGAAAUGGACAGGGAGCGAAUUUACUGUGUCACCUGCAAAGUAAAGACGAAUACAUACAACAUGGUCGUUUACAAUGAGAAUGGGAGAAGACGACUGGAAGGAAUUUGUUCUGUGUGCCGCAAGAAGAAGUCUAUGUUUGUCUAACAGGAAAAUGAACUGUCAACAGAAGAAUUACUUAUUUUUUUAUUUGAACAAUGUGAUUUAACUAUAUCAGACUGUGAUUAUCCACCAUAUGAAUUAAUUAUAAUGUUAAUACUAAAUUAUUUUCGAAAGCAUUGUACAGAAAAUAAAGUAAAUAACAAAAUAAUAACGAGUAACAAAGUUUGUAAAAUUUUGUGAAAUGAGGUCAAUUCAAUAUUUUCACAAUAUAUAGUUAAUUUCCGAAAAUAAAUCUGAUUUUAUUGUUCAGAUAUCGUUAUUAUCUGCACGUUAUGUCAUAUCACGAUAACAAGAUGAUGUAACAUAAGAUAUAGCUAUCCUCUGUAUCAAAGGAUGAUAACCGACUAAAAGUGACAACUAUUAAAGUGAUGUUAAAAUUUUCAUCGAUUUUUAAAUAAAAAGAAAUUACAAAAAAAAUAUGUUUCAUUUUUAUUAUUUUUAGAACA